CAGUAGCCGCGGUAAUACGUAGGGUGCGAGCGUUAAUCGGAAUUACUGGGCGUAAAGCGUGCGCAUGCGGUUGUGUAAGACAGGUGUGAAAUCCCCGGGCUUAACCUGGGAACUGCGCUUGUGACUGCACAGCUAGAGUAUGGCAGAGGGGGGUGGAAUUCCACGUGUAGCAGUGAAAUGCGUAGAGAUGUGGAGGAACACCGAUGGCGAAGGCAGCCCCCUGGGCCAAUACUGACGCUCAUGCACGAAAGCGUGGGGAGCAAACAGGAUUAGAUACCCCGGUAGUCCCUGUCUCUUAUAC
rnacentral:rRNA from 1 species